UACAGAGGUCCCAAGCGUUGUUCGGAUUCACUGGGCGUAAAGGGUGCGUAGGUGGCCAGGUAAGUUCGGUGUGAAAGCUCGGAGCUUAACUCCGAAAUGGCAUUGAAUACUAUCUGGCUAGAGGGUCGGAGGGGAGACUGGAAUUCUCGGUGUAGCAGUGAAAUGCGUAGAUAUCGAGAGGAACACCAGUGGCGAAGGCGAGUCUCUGGACGACACCUGACACUGAGGCACGAAAGCUAGGGGAGCAAACAGG
rnacentral:rRNA from 1 species